GUUUCGGUAGUCUAAAGGCUUAGGACUCUCGCAUGAAAUGCAAGAGAUCCAGGUUUGACUCCCGGUCGAGGCA
rfam:Trachymyrmex septentrionalis contig17818, whole genome shotgun sequence.